rnacentral:siRNA from 1 species
GAAGAACUCUUUUAGCUGCUUGCC